rnacentral:lncRNA from 1 species
CAUCCUUGUGAGAUGAGCCAACAGACAGUGCCCAUGGGGGAGGCUCUGCAGCCCACAGGCCACAGGGAGCAUCCUAUUCCCAGGAGACUCAGUUUUCCAAGGGAAGCCAGGAUUGAAGAGCAAAGAGCCCAGCGGGCUUGAAACCAGAAGCCUAGAAGUUUCAGUACACAGCUAUGUGCUCUGCAGCAGGGGUCUUAAGUUCAUUUUUCAUGCUUAUGGAUUUCAAAACUCUUGCCUCACAGGGUUGUGAAGAUUAAAUUGCAGUUGAGGCCUGUGAAAGGGCCUAGCACAGUGCAGACAACAAAGUGCAGGGGCUUGACAAAUGUUUGCUGGACUGAAUCUCAGAGCCUUCCCAAGAAGAUCUCAGGGUCAUCAAUGUGAGUAACCCUCACAUGGGGUUCUAAACUUGAAAGAGAGUGACAUUCAGCAGAGUGUACCAAUGCACAUGGUUGAGACGCUACAGUUUAUCUCUGGUGAGUGUUGUUCCUGGGAAAACUGAGGAUAGAGAAAAAUGACACAUGCUAUUUUAACUUCAGGGCAUGAGCCUCAGAACCAAACAUUGCCCCUAGGGGAGGUCAACCACUGCCUUUUUCUUCUGCUUCCUAACAUGGCUGUAGUCUCUUUGGCUUGCCCGACCUACCGGAUCUCUUCUGUACGUCUCUGCUGCUGCAGAAGAGUGAAUCUUAGAGAAUGCAGGGCCGAUGGGGAGACUCAAAGGUUCAGCCUUUGAUGUAAAACUACUAGAAAUAAUUUCAUAAGAGGAAAGAGGAAGAAAAAACACUUAUGGUCUGCCUCCUUUCUUAAAGAUAAAAAAGAUUAAUAUAUAAUAUCAAAUCUCUGCUCCCUUCUUGGGUUCUGCAGCUAGAAUAAAGAAGUACAACUAGGUACACAGGAAGAGAACAGACAGACCUCAUAGAUCUCUGAUAUUGUGGGGUUUUUUGGCUUUGAAUCCUAGCUCCCUCUGCUGCCAGCCAUGUGACUGGUCAUCUCUGAGCCUCGGUUUCCUCAUCUGCACAGUGGGGAUCAGCACAAUUACUGGGAAGGGUGACGGGAAGAUUACACAAGGCUCAAUAUGUGAGGGGCCUGGCCCUUAGCAGGGAUCAGUGAAUGCUCCUUUCUCCCUUAUGAAUUGAGUCCUUUACAGAUGUGAACAUUCUUUCAAAACUAUUAGUUCAUGUAAUUCUUGCUUCACUGUUGAGAGGC